GCAAGGAAUGGAACACGGCCCUGCUUGAUUUUAGCCUAGUAAGACGCAUUUCAGACUUCUGACCUCCAGAACUGCAAGACAGGUGGCACCCGGUCCCUGGUUAUUCUCCUGAGCCUGGAGGCCACAGAGAACCUGGGACUUGUUGGGCAAGCCUGUGCUUAAAUCCUAGCACCUGGUGAUGUGAUCUUGGGCAAAUCUCAUGCCUCCCUGAAUCUCAGUUUCCUCACAAGCAAGAUGGGCACAGAACCUUCCUGACGGCUUCGAGUGAGAAGGAACUUGUCUGGGUUCAUACACAGGGUAAGUAUAUGUUGAAGUGAGAUUCAAACCAGCUCGUUCACUCUGAAGCCAUGUUCUCAACCUUGGCUCCCGGCCGGGCCGCCCCCCCAUCCAGAUCUCAUUGGUCUGAGCAGGUUGGAAUGUAGGGGAAGGCAGAGGGGAGCAUCUGUGUGCUGGGCCCAGCUGCCCAGGUGUGAACCUUGGUCCCUGCCCUCCAGGGCUGACGAGGAGGCCGGAGCAGACCAGCCAGGCCUGGUCACACUGGCUGGCCAGGGCUGGCUAGGAAGGGCCAGCAGGAGGGACACAAUGGGCUAGGCCAGGUAAGAACCAAGAAUGAGGAAAUUGAGGCAGGGGGAGGGCCAGAGGCCUGCCGCAGUUCCCCCAGGGGGGCAAGACUGAGCUGGGCCUCCUGCUCGGAGCUUCCUGGAACCGAAGCUGGCUGGGGCGGCCACCCAGGAGCCAUCUCUUUUGACCAUUUGCCCAUCAACACGACCUGUCAUCUCCCCACAGCAGACGUAGAUGCUGAAGACCGAGGGGGCUGGCUCCACCCCUCAGUGGCUCCGCCCCCGCCGCACCACACAGCCCAGCCCCACCUCUCAGCUCACAGAGUUGACGGGACAAGGGACUUGCCCGAGGUCACUAGGCUCCUCCCGGUAGCCGAUUCUCUUCCCAGGCCACACUGGCUUCUAUCCUAUGUAUUAGUGUCCUAUAGCUGUUGUUACAAAGUGCCACAAGCGUGGUGUCUUAUGACAGAUUCAUCUCAUCUGUUCUCUCACGGUUCUAGAUGCUUGGAAGCCCGAUCUCUAUUUCACUGGGCUGCAAUCAAGAUGCCCGCAGGGCUGCUUCCUUCUGGAGGCUCCCGAGGAGAGCCCGCCUCUUGGCUCCUUCCGGUUCUGGAGGCUUCGGCAUCCCUUGGCUGGUCGAGCUUUCUCGAAUGUCCCCCCGCCCCCGCUGGCCUCUGCUUCCUUCUCCUCUCUUCUGGAGUCACACCUCCCUCUUACAAGGACACUUGUGAUCGUGUUACCUUUAGGGCCCAAUCCUGAGGCCCCAUCUAGGAAAAUCCCUUCAUCUCAAAAAUCACUAAUUUAAUCACAUCUACAAAUUCCCUUGAGCACAUGAGGUAACAGCCACAGGUUCCCGGGACAAAGACCUGGACACCUUUGGGGGCCAUUACUCAAUCCACCAGCCCCUCCCCCACUGCAAACCCUGUUCCCUGUUACACCCUUCUGCCCCUCACCCCUCAAAAUCCUUCCCAUUGGACUGGUGAAGUAAAUUAGGGAACAGUCAUUCCCACGGAAGGUGGCUACUGUGGAGGACUACACAGCCAUCAGACUUGUAGAGCAAUUACUGACCCGGAAUAUGUUCACGAUCUGAAUUUUUACUUUAAAAAAGGGAAAAACU